UACGGGGGGGGCAAGCGUUGUUCGGAAUUACUGGGCGUAAAGGGCUCGUAGGUGGCCAACUAAGUCAGACGUGAAAUCCCUCGGCUUAACCGGGGAACUGCGUCUGAUACUGGAUGGCUUGAGUUUGGGAGAGGGAUGCGGAAUUCCAGGUGUAGCGGUGAAAUGCGUAGAUAUCUGGAGGAACACCGGUGGCGAAGGCAGCCCCCUGGGCUGAGAUUGACGCUCAGGCACGAAAGCGUGGGGAGCAAACAGG
rnacentral:rRNA from 1 species